rnacentral:rRNA from 1 species
UUAAAUGAAUUGACGGGGCCCGCACAAGCGGUGGAGUAUGUGGUUUAAUUCGAAGCAACGCGAAGAACCUUACCAGGCCUUGACAUGCUAGGGAACCCGGGUGAAAAGCCUGGGGUGCCCCGCGAGGGGAGCCCUAGCACAGGUGCUGCAUGGCCGUCGUCAGCUCGUGCCGUGAGGUGUUGGGUUAAGUCCCGCAACGAGCGCAACCCCGCCGUUAGUUGCCAGCGGUUCGGCCGGGCACUCUAACGGGACUGCCCGCGAAAGCGGGAGGAAGGAGGGGACGACGUCUGGUCAGCAUGGCCCUUACGGCCUGGGCGACACACGUGCUACAAUGCCCACUACAAAGCGAGGCCACCCGGCAACGGGGAGCUAAUCGCAAAAAGGUGGGCCCAGUUCGGAUUGCAGUCUGCAACUCGACUGCAUGAAGUUGGAAUCGCUAGUAAUCGUGGAUCAGCCAAGCCGCGGUCGAAUACGUUCCCGGGCCUU